rnacentral:tRNA from 1 species
GGGCGGGUGAUGAAAUUGGUAACCAUGCCACUUUGAGGGGGUGGUGGCCGAAAGGCCUUGGAGGUUCGAGUCCUCUCCCGCCCA